AAGAAUCAACUUAAAUAAAUAUAGAUUUUAAAAUUUUUUUAAUAAAAAUAGGGGAUCAAUUAAUUUCUCAUUAUAAAAAUAUAAUCUCUAUAAAAAAAAAGAUUUAAUACUUAAAUUUAAAGAGGGGUCAAUUUCCAAAACACUUGUAUAUAUAUUGAGUAAUUUCAAAAAAAAAAAAAAGGGAUCAAUUGACCACUCAUUCAUGCAAAUACAUCCGCCACUGUUUAAGGCCUAGGAUGCACGGAAACGAGAGGCGGGAGCGUUUCCCCGUUCUGGAAAGGACGCAACGAGGAAACGUCUUCGGGCCGUUUCCGUAAUUCCUUGAAAUCGGAAACGCGUUUCCUUCGCCGGACACGCGUUUCUUUAAAAAAAACAAAAAAAAAAGAAGAAGAAGAAGAAGAAGAAGAGGAGAAGGAGGAGGAGUACCUGGUGGGGCAGCGUGCCGGCGAUGGGAGGUGACUGGUCUCUGCUUCCUUCCCCAUCCGAUGCUCUGCCAAUCAGCCUCCCUUCCCCGAUGGCGCUGCUCCUUCUUUGAUGGCUCUGCUCCUUCCCCGAAUCCUAAUACCCACGUUAUUUCCUAUUUGAAAAUUUUUUUUAAUCAUUAUUUUUUUUUAUUCAAUUUUCACUGUAUUAAAACUUUCAACCUUUAUUUUCAGCAUUUUAAUAUUAAUUUUAUUAUUCUAUAUAUUUAUUA